AUGCGCGUGCGUGUGGGGCUGGCGGCCCUGCUGCUGGGCGGCUGCCUGCUGAUGGCGGGCCUGCAGGAGGCCCACGCGACGGCGGCGGAGGCGACCCAGCCGGAGACCACCACGGCGCGCGUGCUCAAGGUGACGGGUGCGUAUAUGCCGGAGCAGGCCAACCCCUACUCGCGCGGAUGCCACGCCAAAAAUGGCUGCCGCGGCUGA
rnacentral:rRNA from 1 species